rnacentral:rRNA from 1 species
GCAUCAGGUAACAUCAAAUCGUACCCCAAACCGACACAGGUGGUCAGGUAGAGAAUACCAAGGCGCUUGAGAGAACUCGGGUGAAGGAACUAGGCAAAAUGGUGCCGUAACUUCGGGAGAAGGCACGCUGAUAUGUAGGUGAAGCGACUUGCUCGUGGAGCUGAAAUCAGUCGAAGAUACCAGCUGGCUGCAACUGUUUAUUAAAAACACAGCACUGUGCAAACACGAAAGUGGACGUAUACGGUGUGACGCCUGCCCGGUGCCGGAAGGUUAAUUGAUGGGGUUAGCGGUAACGCGAAGCUCUUGAUCGAAGCCCCGGUAAACGGCGGCCGUAACUAUAACGGUCCUAAGGUAGCGAAAUUCCUUGUCGGGUAAGUUCCGACCUGCACGAAUGGCGUAAUGAUGGCCAGGCUGUCUCCACCCGAGACUCAGUGAAAUUGAACUCGCUGUGAAGAUGCAGUGUACCCGCGGCAAGACGGAAAGACCCCGUGAACCUUUACUAUAGCUUGACACUGAACAUUGAGCCUUGAUGUGUAGGAUAGGUGGGAGGCUUUGAAGUGUGGACGCCAGUCUGCAUGGAGCCGACCUUGAAAUACCACCCUUUAAUGUUUGAUGUUCUAACGUUGGCCCGUAAUCCGGGUUGCGGACAGUGUCUGGUGGGUAGUUUGACUGGGGCGGUCUCCUCCUAAAGAGUAACGGAGGAGCACGAAGGUUGGCUAAUCCUGGUCGGACAUCAGGAGGUUAGUGCAAUGGCAUAAGCCAGCUUGACUGCGAGCGUGACGGCGCGAGCAGGUGCGAAAGCAGGUCAUAGUGAUCCGGUGGUUCUGAAUGGAAGGGCCAUCGCUCAACGGAUAAAAGGUACUCCGGGGAUAACAGGCUGAUACCGCCCAAGAGUUCAUAUCGACGGCGGUGUUUGGCACCUCGAUGUCGGCUCAUCACAUCCUGGGGCUGAAGUAGGUCCCAAGGGUAUGGCUGUUCGCCAUUUAAAGUGGUACGCGAGCUGGGUUUAGAACGUCGUGAGACAGUUCGGUCCCUAUCUGCCGUGGGCGCUGGAGAACUGAGGGGGGCUGCUCCUAGUACGAGAGGACCGGAGUGGACGCAUCACUGGUGUUCGGGUUGUCAUGCCAAUGGCACUGCCCGGUAGCUAAAUGCGGAAGAGAUAAGUGCUGAAAGCAUCUAAGCACGAAACUUGCCCCGAGAUGAGUUCUCCCUGAGACUUUAAGUCUCCUGAAGGAACGUUGAAGACGACGACGUUGAUAGGCCGGGUGUGUAAGCGCAGCGAUGCGUUGAGCUAACCGGUACUAAUGAACCGUGAGG